UACGUAGGGGGCAAGCGUUGUCCGGAAUCAUUGGGCGUAAAGCGCGUGUAGGCGGCCCGGUAAGUCCGCUGUAAAAGUCCAGGGCUCAACCCUGGAAAGCCGGUGGAUACUGUCGGGCUAGAGUCCGGAAGAGGAGAGUGGAAUUCCCGGUGUAGCGGUGAAAUGCGCAGAUAUCAGGAAGAACACCAAUGGCGAAAGCAGCUCUCUGGGACGGUACUGACGCUGAGACGCGAAAGCGUGGGGAGCGAACAGG
rnacentral:rRNA from 1 species